rnacentral:rRNA from 1 species
GAUGAACGCUGGCGGCGUGCCUAAUACAUGCAAGUCGAGCGAACAGAUAAGGAGCUUGCUCCUUUGACGUUAGCGGCGGACGGGUGAGUAACACGUGGGUAACCUACCUAUAAGACUGGGAUAACUUCGGGAAACCGGAGCUAAUACCGGAUAACAUUUGGAACCGCAUGGUUCUAAAGUGAAAGAUGGUUUUGCUAUCACUUAUAGAUGGACCCGCGCCGUAUUAGCUAGUUGGUAAGGUAACGGCUUACCAAGGCAAGGAUACGUAGCCGACCUGAGAGCGUGAUCGGCCACACUGGAACUGAGACACGGUCCAGACUCCUACGGGAGGCAGCAGUAGGGAAUCUUCCGCAAUGGGCGAAAGCCUGACGGAGCAACGCCGCGUGAGUGAUGAAGGGUUUCGGCUCGUAAAACUCUGUUAUUAGGGAAGAACAAAUGUGUAAGUAACUGUGCACGUCUUGACGGUACCUAAUCAGAAAGCCACGGCUAACUACGUG